rnacentral:rRNA from 1 species
ACGGAGGGUGCAAGCGUUAAUCGGAAUUACUGGGCGUAAAGCGCACGUAGGUGGUUUGUUAAGCUAGCUGUGAAAUCCCCGGGCUCAACCUGGGCACUGCAGUUAGAACUGGCAAGCUAGAGUAGGGUAGAGGGGUGUGGAAUUCCAGGUGUAGCGGUGAAAUGCGUAGAUAUCUGGAGGAACAUCAGUGGCGAAGGCAGCCCCCUGGGCCAAUACUGACGCUCAUGCACGAAAGCGUGGGGAGCAAACAGGA